UGUAUUUCGCAAUCUUGAUAAAGGAUGUGCGAUAAGUUAUUAUGAUUUCCAAUAUUCUGGUGUUGUUGCUGAUCUACAGGCCUAUUGCAAAUUACCAUGGCACAAGUGGAAGGCAACCUUGAAGCAAAAUUAUUUCAACACUCCAUGGGCGUCUAUCUCUGUAAUUGCAGCUGUUAUUCUUCUUCUACUCACAUUCAUACAAACAGUUUGUUCUCUCAUCGCGUUGUAGGUUCACUUUUACAGUUUAUUAUGUAUUAUUUUCUUAGAAGGAUUUCACUUGUAUUACCAGUGAGUGUUUCUGUUUAGCUCAACCACAGUAUGUAUAUAAAAGAAAUAAGAGCAGCUGAUUUCUGUACUUACUUUUUGCUGUUUUCACAAUAAGUCAAGCACAUAAUGAUAAAAAUUUGACAAUUCAAUUAAUUUUGAAGAAAGAAUCAAGUCCUCCACUCGUCCAAUCGUCCACUUGUUAACAAAAAAUAUCUAGAAUUAUAUAUAUCCAGGAAGGGAGGGUAGUUAGGAUAUGUGGUUAACAAAUAGUUAUAUGGUAGUAUAUGGAAAAUGUGGCUAAGAAAUACGAUACGAUAUAUACAUAUAAGCAGUUAGAUUUAUUGGUGAAAAGUAAAAUGCCCUAUAAUUACAUAUAUACUUCGGUGAAAACAAGCAUAAAUAGUCACAUAGACGUAAGGCAACGCAGCAGCAGCACUAAUGCUCUUACCCUGGAAUAGUGAGGCUAUCUUGGCUACCUGAAGAGAGCCAAUGAACUGUGAUGCUCAAAAUCAAUGGAGACAUGACUAGUAAUCUUUUCAGCAGCUCAGAUGGUGCGGCCAUUACUGUGUCAUGGAGUAAGUAGCGCAGGAAUCCGCAAACGAGUAUCACUGCUGCCUUGAGAAGCCAUUGCUCUGUUAUGCCGAUGCUUUGAGGCCUUGAUGAAGCGAUGAGUUAAAGGAAGUGGUUUGGAGCUAAAAGGGAAAGGACUGAAGGGUCUAUCAGGAUCAUAGGGUUUUUGUGUUUGCUUUUGUGGACUUAUGUGAGCGAGUACCGUUACAAGAGACAGAAUUAUUGAGCCUCUGUCAGUAACUUUGUCCCAUAUGUUAACAUUUCUUAACAGAGGCAAUAAUUUACGAAGUGGCAAUUUGAAAUUCAAUAUUUCUCAUCUCAUUUAGAAGAAUCCAACCUGUUGCAAACAAGAUUGACCAUCUAGCUGUCAAAAUUUGAACUUAAGCUGCAACAAACAACCGUUCCCCUCAACCCACCUACACCCCGGCACUUUCUUCAAACCUUUCUGGUUCGUGGCAACCAUCAUCUCAGCUGCAUUAUCCCAAUUACCAGAUAGAGAUGAUACGCUUGGCAGAGUUGAAGGUCCUGUGAUCAUUGUCAGUCCUUUGCAUCUCACAGUUGAAACAUGAACAUAAUUGCUCAUCAUUCGGAUCCUGAGAAUAUGUCAAAGAACGUCCGCGCAUUGCGACUGCGGCAGUAGGAAACGCGACAGCUUCAAAAUUAUUGUAAAAGCGGCACCGAUCGAGGAACAAAAUAGCAACUCCAGAAGAAAGGAUGUUCUGAAGCUUCCACAGCGGUAGGCCUCACGCAGGGGUUCCAGGAACAGAGCCACAAAAUCAAGCUGAUGGCAUCACUGCUAGCUGAUGACACACUCACUCCCCCAAGCUGAUGACACCACCCAUCUGCGGGAAUUUCCAAUUGAGAUUGCUCGCGAGUUGAAUUCCAAGAGGCCAGGAGUUCUUAGUGGGGCUUCCAAUCACUUGGCAGAUUUUGUAAAUUUGAUCAGCUGAGCUUUUCCCUAGAAAGAGAAUCCUGAAACUCAACAUCUCGGGCAUAAUAGCACCCAUCGCCCACAUAUCAACUUCAGGUCCGUAAAUCUCGGAAAAAAGCAACACCUCAGGAGCUCGAUACCAGCGAGUUAUAACAUAAUCAGUGCACGGCAGAUUGGAAUCAAUUUCCUUCACCAUUCCAAGAUCCCCUAUCUUGAUCACACCUUUUGAAACAAGCAAGUUGGAAGGCUUAAGGUCACAGUGAAAAUAAUGUUGAGCGUGGAAUGCGGAAUCAAGCGCACCAAACAAUUAUAGAAAAAUAAAGGACACAAGAAUUACGUGGUUCGGUAAUUAAACCUACAUCCACGGAGGCAAGAAAGAAUAAUUAUUUAUUUAACAAUUAAUAGAGUACAAUAUUUGAGUAACGAAUCUCACUUCUCAGAAACCCAAAUAUACCCAGUACUCUCACACUCUGCAGGAAAGAUAAAUUCCCCAGACACACUUUUCUCACUUCUCUCAAAAGCUUAGAACUUAUAAGCUUAACAAUUUUGGGAUACUAAACAAAUGAAGAAUGCUUAGCUAUUUAUAGGAAAAAUGUUGGCACUAUUCAUGAAACAAAUAUCAAGAAAAAAACUGCGUUCCAAACGCGUCCAAACCGCGUCCACACCACGUUCAAACCGUGUGCAAAAAAUCCACACGGAUUUGACUUGACUUUUCAACAAAUAACCUUGUUGGUGCAUGUAAUGGAGACCUUGAAAAACUUGGAAACACAAGUUUCUGACUUCAUCUUCAGAGAAAUUUUUACCCUCUCUUUCUUUCAUAAGUUUUAGAAGAUCAGAUUCCAUGUAGUCGAACACAAUGAAUACAUCUUCGUGUUUUUUGACAAGAUUCCUCAAUUUGACAAUGUUGGGACGAUUAUUCAUCUUCCUUAAGCAUUUAACUUCUUUCAAGUUCCUGCUCUCGUCCAAAGAAAAAAUCUUCUUCUUCAAUUUCUUGACAGCAACAUAAUCGCCGUUCCAAACGCGUCCAAACCGCGUUCAAACCGUGUGCAAAAAAUCCACACGGAUUUGACUUGACUUUUCAACAAAUCUCCACCUCGGCGAAAAUUUAUCCAAAUUUGAGCCGAUUGACAAUGAUCCUCCAAACUUCAUCCCUCACAUGAUCCUCAAAAGGAUCCACAUUGGCUGCAUCUAUCUAAUUGCCUAAGUACCCAAAGGUUGGGAUCAAGCCUGCCGUAGUUCCUAUUUCCCAAGGAAACACCUCAACAUAAUCGAAUGUUGUUGAUCUUCGCUUAUCUAGGUUUCUAGCGAAAUCAGAAUCACAAUACCCAACACAUUGUUGACCAUAAUCCUUCUUUAACAAUAACCGAACAUCAACUAUCCUAUAGAGAUAUCGGAGAAUCCACUUUACUGUAAGCCAAUGAUUUUUACCCGGUUGUGCACGUAUCUACUAACCAUGCUCACUGCUUGAGAUAUAUCAGGCCUUGUGCAUACCAUAGCAUACAUAAGACUACCCACAUCACUAGCAUAUGGAACACGAGCUAUGUAAUCGCGCUCCUCUUGAGAUCUAGGACAUGAAGAAGAGCUUAAUUUGAAAUGAGGAGCUAGAGGUGUACAUACCGGUUUAGUUUUGUCAUCCAUACCGAAUCUUUCUAGCACUUUAUUCAAAUAAGACUUUUGAGUCAACCAUACGCUCUCAUUCUUCUUGUCUCUACGAAUCUCCAUCCCAAGUAUUCUCUGUGCAUCACCCAAGUCUUUCAUCUCGAACUCAGAAGCCAGCUGCUUCUUUAAUCUUUCGAUCUCAUCUCUAUUCUUUGAAGCUAUAAGCAUAUCGUUGACAUAGAGUAACAAAUAGAUGAAAUCUCCAUCUAGUAGUCUUCUAAAAUAAACACAAUGAUCGUGUUCACUUCUGGUGAAUUUCUGCCCUUGUAUAAAUUGAUCAAAUCUUUUGUACCACUGCCUUGGCGACUGCUUCUGUCUGUAUAAAGAUUUUAAUCAACCUACAUACAUGAUUCUCCUUUCCAGCAACUCUGAAACCACAAGGCUAAGUCAUAUAGAUUUCCUCUUCCAAAUCUCCAAAUAAGAAUGUUGUCUUAACAUCCAAUUGAGCCAACUCUAACUCAUAUUCUGCAACUAAAGCAAGUAGGAUACGAAUGGAAGUAUGUUUUACAACUGGAGAGAAAACUUCAUUGUAGUCAAUACCUUCUUUCUGAGCAAAACCUUUUGCCACAAGCCUUACCUUGUAUCGAGGAGUUGAUUGAUUCAGAGAUUCUUGUUUUUUGGUGUAGACCCAUUUAUUGCCAAUAGCUUUUUUCCCCUUUGGUAACUUUACAAGUUCCCAAGUCUGGUUUUGAUGGAGAGAUUUCAUCUUUUCCUCAAUGGCUAACUUCCACUGAUUACUUUCAUUGCUGCAUAAUGCUUCACCGAAAGUAUUGGGGAUGUCAUCAUCAAUAACUGGAAGUGCAUAGGCUACCACCUUAUCUUUAGUAAGCCAUCUGAGUUUCUUUAUCUCUCUUCUUGGUCUCCUUGUUGCUGUAAAAUCAUCAUUAUGUACAUCAUCAAUUGUUUCUUCAUUUUGUGGGACAGCAGAAGAAACAACCUAUUAUUUGACUCUAGGUGUCACCUCCAUAGUUAAACCAUUAUUUGAUGUAGAAUUAACUGGUACAUAAGGAGUUGCAUCAAACUCCACCCGCUGCAAUACCUCUUUGGUCUUGUUCUCCACCUGCUGAGAAUUUGAAGCUUUUAUCAUUGAAGUUUCAUCAAAUGUGACAUCUCUGCUACACACAAACUUUUUGUCUUUGAGAUCCCAAAGCUUGAAGCCCUUUACUCCACCUUUGAAUCCCACAAAGAUAGUUUUUCUAGCACGAGGAUCCAGUUUACCAUCUUUGACAUGAUAAUAAGCUGGACACCCGAAUAUAUGAAGGGAAUUAUAGUCUUGUGCAUGCUUUCCAAACCACAUUUCCAUAGAAGUUUUACCUCCAAUUGCAACAGAAAGCAACCGAUUUACCAAAUGACUUGCGUAGCUCACAGCUUCAGCCCAAAACUUUUUAUCGAAACCAGCAUUAGAUAACAUACACCGUACCUUCUCCAGUAAAGUACGAUUCAUACGCUCAGCCACACCGUUCUGUUGCGGAGUAUGUCUCAUCGUGAAAUGUCUUUUAAUACCCUCGUUCUGGCAUACUUGCAAGAAUGGAUCAGAAGUAUAUUCACCCCCAUUAUCAGAUCGUAAUACUUUGAUCUUUCUGCCAGUUUGAGUCUCCACCAAUUUCUUCUAUUUCACGAAAAUCUCUAGAACCUCAUCCUUUGCUCGCAUGAUGUACACCUACACACGUCUAGAGAAAUCAUCAAUAAAAGUAAUAAAAUAAUGGCUUCCACCAAUUGAUGCAGUCUUGGUUGGUCCCUAUACAUCACUAUGAACAUAUUCAAGGAUCUCACGAGUAUCGUGAUUAGCUGUACCAAACAUGACCCUUGUUUUCUUGCCUACUACACAAUGCUCACAGAAAUUUAAUUUACAGGUUUUGGUACCUUUUAAGAGUCUGUGCCUUAUCAGAGUUUGUAAAGACUUCUCACCAGCAAGUCCCAGUCGUACAUGCCAUAGCUUGGUGGUGUCACUGUGCGCCUCAACAACAUUUGCUUCAUCAGUUGUACCUCCCUUCAAAUAGUACAGAUUGUGACACUGAACCCCUUGCAGAAUCAUCAUAGCCCCAUGUGUAAACUUCAUUAUACCAUCUUCAAUGGUAACCUUGUAGCCUUUAGCUUCCAAAGCACCCACAGAAAUUAGAUUUUUCUCUAAAGUUGGAACAAAUCUAACCUCUUUGAGUUCUCUGACCAUUCCAUCAAUCAUUUUGAGCCGAAUUGUUCCUAUCCCCAUUGUGCGACAAGGUUGAUCAUUCCCCAUCACAACUGCACCGGAUUCCAAAUUACGAAAAUCAGUAAACCAUUCCUUAAUAGGACACAAAUGAUAGGUUGCUCCAAUAUAAAGUAUCCACUCGCUCGAACUAGCCACGUAUGCUACAAGAGUAAUACUUAGUGAAUAAUCAGAGCCCUCAUCUUUCCGUGCCAUGUUUGCUGCUGUUGGUUUCUUCCCAUCUCUCUUUUGAGCCUUUGGACAAUCUUUCCUCCAAUGGCCCUUUUCAUGACAAAAGGCACACUCAUCUCGAGCUAUAUUUCUGCUUCUCGAUUUAGAUCGAGAAUUCUUUCCACCACGCUUCUUCUGUUUCUCCAUCGCCCAAUCUCUGCUCACCAAAGCUUUAGACGAUGCUCGUUCAGAAUUUUUAUCAUUAUUCCGAAUCUCUAAGCUAGUCAAUGUUGUGCAAACAUAUUUAUAGACGAUCACACUCUUUCCAUAUAUCAAGGUAGUCACAAAAUGGCUAUAUUCCUCUGGUAGUGAGUGUAACUGAAUCAUAUCCUUGACUUCAUCCUUAAUAUCUUCAUCAAGAUUCUUCAAAUCAACAAGUAACUUUCAAUCUUGAGACAUGAUCGUGCAUUGACACCCCAGACUUCAUUCGAAAGCCAUAUACUUGGCUCAUUGCAUGAAGACAAUUUUCAGGACUUUUCAGCAAGUACUUCUCCUCCAAUGUACACCACAAAGUCACCGCACACUCCUCAUCUUUCACAAAGUAUUUCACCUCCUUGGUCAAACAAGAUUUGAUCUGACCACAAGUUUUCUCAUUCAUACGAUCCCAAAUUUCUUCAUCAUACAAGUGUCUUUUAUUUUUCAGAACAACAUCAUGAUCGAUUUGAAUAAGGACAUCUAUAACUUCGCGCCUCCACAUGCCGAAGUUGAUUUUCCUAUCAAAUUUUUCAACAUCGAUCUUUUGACCUCCUAUAACGUGUGCUGAAUAACGAUUUGACAAAUCUCGCCUCUCACCUGAAGUGUCUCUUGAAAUAGUCUCGGUAGAUCUCUCCCCAAUUCUGCAAGUUUCACCUUCUACAAUUUUCUCAACGAACUAUUUCCACUUGAAAAAACAGCCUCUAUGAUGUUAAUUUCGCGUGAAUAAAUGCACCAGGAAAGUUCUCAGGAAACUGGAUGGGAACUUGGUUCCAAUUAAAAACCAGAAUCCUUAGACUCUUAUCGCCUUUUUUGACAGAACUUUCCUAGACAUGCAAAAAUACACACUACUUACGAUAUACUGUCUCUCAAGUACAAAUGGUCGUCUCCACCGUAUUCGUGAACAGUACCGUAUACGUGAACAGUACCGUAUCCCCCAAGUACGAACCGUCGGCUCUGAUACCACUUGUUGUGCGCGGAAUGCGGAAUCAAGCGCACCAAACAAUUAUAGAAAAAUAAAGGACACAAGAAUUACGUGGUUCGGUAAUUAAACCUACAUCCACGGAGGCAAAAAAGAAUAAUUGUUUAUUUAACAAUUAAUAGAGUACAAUAUUUGAGUAACGAAUCUCACUUCCCAAAAACCCAAAUAUACCUAGUACUCUCACACUCUGCAGGAAAGAUAAAUUCCCCAGACACGCUUCUCUCACUUCUCUCAAAAACUUAGAACUUAUAAGCUUAACAAUUUUGGGAUACUAAACAAAUGAAGAAUGCUUAGCUAUUUAUAGGAAAAAUGUUGGCACUAUUCAUGAAACAAAUAUCAAGAAAAAAACCGCGUUCCAAACGCGUCCAAACCGCGUCCACACCACGUUCAAACCGUGUGCAAAAAAUCCACACGGAUUUGACUUGACUUUUCAACAAAUAACCCUGUUGGUGCAUGUAAUGGAGACCUUGAAAAACUUGGAAACACAAGUUUCUGACUUCAUCUUCAGAGAAAUUUUUACCCUCUCUUUCUUUCAUAAGUUUUAGAAGAUCAGAUUCCAUGUAGUCGAACACAAUGAAUACAUCUUCGUGUUUUUUGACAAGAUUCCUCAAUUUGACAAUGUUGGGACGAUUAUUCAUCUUCCUUAAGCAUUUAACUUCUUUCAAGUUCCUGCUCUCGUCCAAAGAAAAAAUCUUCUUCUUCAAUUUCUUGACAGCAACAUAAUCGCCGCUCCUUUUAUCAAGAGCCUGAAACACGUCGCCAUAAGCCCCCGGAUAAACUCCCUAAUCUUUUCGUAUUGCUCCAUUAUUUUUUAGUAUGAUAUAUGAAACGAAAUUUUUGUUUCUCUACGGAUAUUUAUAUGCGACAAUAACUUGCCGCAUUGAAUUAGGGAAUAAUUUCCUAUUCCCAUUACAUGUAAUGAUAAUGCCUUAAUUAAAUAGGAAACUAGUUUCCUAAAUGAAAUUAAUAUGGAACUCAGAAAAGGAAAUUUGUUUAAGAAGUGCACUAGGAAAAGGUUAUAUUAGUAACUUUCAACGUGUUCUUAAUUAUCUAAAAACAUCCAUUUUUUUGUUUUUUAUUUAACUAGAUAGGCUUGUCAAUUAGUAACUAAUGUAAUAUAAGUUAAGUAAAACAUCAAAUUUUAAUAUUUAACCAAUUAGGCCAUUUGAAAUCUAACAGUUUCUCCCAGUUAAUACUAUUUACUUUUCUUCGUUGUAGGCUAAUAAAACAAGAGAGAGACAAAAACCAAGUGUAAGUUGUAACAAAGAGGAAUGUAGCUAAUAUAUACAUUAUCAUAAGAAUGGGAGCUAGCUUUCAGAAAAUCACACUUCACGAAUACACGCUUUUACAACAAAAGGGUACGUAAAAUUAUCAGGUCUAAGCCCGUUUUUAGCAUUUCAUCAAACAGUUUGAUUGAUUCAAUCGAACAAGAAAGAGGAAUGUAGCUAAUAUAUACAUUAUCAUAAGAAUGGGAGCUAGCUUUCAGAAAAUCACACUUCACGAAUACACGCUUUUACAACAAAAGGGUACGUAAAAUUAUCAGGUCUAAGCCCGUUUUUAGCAUUUCAUCAAACAGUUUGAUUGAUUCAAUCGAACAAGAAAGAGGAAUGUAGCUAAUAUAUACAUUAUCAUAAGAAUGGGAGCUAGCUUUCAGAAAAUCACACUUCACGAAUACACGCUUUUACAACAAAAGGGUACGUAAAAUUAUCAGGUCUAAGCCCGUUUUUAGCAUUUCAUCAAACAGUUUGAUUGAUUCAAUCGAACAAGAGGCUUUUGCAUACGCUCUUAUAAGGGUAUUGUAAGCAAAACGUGGUGGCGUGACGGGCAAGUUAUUGAAUAGGGAUCUCGUAAAGUGGAGUGAGAUUGAAAGUGAAGUGAGAAUGAAGCGUGAGAUUAUGUACGUGUUGUGAUCGAGUGAUGUUUUGAGGAAUAGAGCGUGGCGUUGAUGAAGGUAGUGGGCGGUUUUUGACAGUUGGAUCAGGUUUUCAUUUUGGCGGGAAAUCAUGACCCCAAACUAAAGUUGAGAAAUAAAAGAAAAAACUACUAAUUUUUAAAUAUUAGAAACUUUUUAUGUCAGUUGUAAGUUGUAACAAUAUGACACCUGAAACAAAACCAUUUUCAUGGCAAUUGAAGUGUAAUAUCACAUUUUUUUCAAAUUCAAAAUUUCAACUAAAAUGUGGCUUGGCAUAGAGCUCUUUUGGGAUUGUUUUUGAGGCUCAAAAUUUUGUUUUUGAAAAGAUAAAAAUUAAUUUUGGUAUUUGGUAUUUUUUAAAAUAUUAUUUUUGGUAAAGUCACCUCAUUAUACGGUAGAUUAGAAAAAUAGAAAAUGAAUAGCUUUACACAACUGAUUUUGAUAAUCAGUUUUAUACUUAAACUCCCGUUGGAAUACAUUUUCAAAUAAAGUUUAUUUAAGUAAAACUUUUGUUGAUAGAGUUUUUACUAAUUUUAUUUAUUUGGUUGUCGAUGAAAGCUUUUAUUAAAAAUUAUGAAAUUCUUUUACAGGAAAGAAAAGGAAUGAAAUAAGAUUGUCAAAUAAAUAAAAAUAUUUUAAUAUUUAAAAAAAGCUUUUUAACCCUUAUUACUCCAAAAGUCCAAAAUUUGAACUUUGCUAGUAGAGGUAAAAUAACUUGUUUAAUCGACAAAAACUCUACUAAAAAAAUAAUCAAACAAUAAUAAAAAUUUUAAAAAUAACUUAUGAGAUUAGAUAAGUACUUAUGACCAUGAGAUAAAUCAUAUCAAACAGACACUUAUAACAAUUUCAUAUAUAUAUUCACAUAAAUUUUAUAUAUCCAAAAUUAUCCUUAUUCAAUUAAGAAAUAAAAUUAUUAAAUUUAAAGAGAUUAUUAUCAUUACCAAUUAUAUUAAGAAAACAAAAUAAAAAUUAAACUUAAUAAAAUAAAAAUAUUUAUUUUAUUUAUUAAUUAUCAUAUAUAUGUGUGUGUGUGUGCGCGCGCGCAAAUAAAUUUUAUUUAAAAUUAUGUCUAUUUUAAUAAUUUGUAUUCUAAUAAGAUUUACUAAAUACAUAUGACUGAUUUUUUAACUCACAAUAUUUUUUAAAAUAAUCUUUUACUAAAUAUUUAACUUCUACAACUGAUUAAUUUUACAGCACAAUUAUUAAUAAUUAUUUUAAAAGUUUUAACAUUGUUAAAUUGACCCAUAGUCGGUCCAACCCUAAAUUUGAGACAUAAAAAAUGUGAGGUACUUAUGGCGUAAAAAAUCUAUCACAAUCGUGCUGACAAUUUCUACCAUGGUCACAAAGUGCAACAAAACCUAAAUUAUCAUCCAAAGGAUCAAAGUAUUUUGAAGUCGUUGUUUAAUCUCUCACAUUUAUCAAUUGUAUGUCACCACCAUCAAUAUAUGCACGGGUCCGUACUAUAUGAUGACUCUAUAUGCACAUAUAUUUUUGAGCUGAACUGACAAAUUUUCUCACUCAAUUUCAAUGAGUAUUCAGAACAUCAAGGGAGAGAACCCAAAUCAUUGAAGAGGUGGAAGAUACGAAGGGCUUUCUUGGCAUAGCAAGACAAUUUAACCAGUGAAAAUAGACAAAUUUAAAAUAGGAAUCUAGCACAUGAGUCGGGGCCCGGGUUUAAUAAAAGAAUUGUCUACUUGUUGCUAAAUGUUUUUAAUUAAAUUGGGUCACCUAACCUCGACAUAAAUUUUGGACUGAUUUGUGGCCUAUUGAAUUGUUUGAGCACGAUCAUCUAGUUGCUAAUUUUUUGCUUUAUUGAAAAAUUAAAAUGAAAACAACUUAUUCAAUUUUAUAAGAAAGCAACUCGGUUUUGUUGUAUUAAAAAAAGACUCUUGACUAAUUCUCCGGAGGGGAUUAGAUAUUAGUUAUGUAAUAAUAUGUAUGAGACUUUUAUUCCCGCUCUGUUUGUCCUAGUCUUUACUAGGCUCCACUAUAUUAAAAAAAAGAAAAGAAAGACUCUUGACCGCUUAUCACUUUGUCCGAAGAUUGCACAAUUGGUUGGAAUUAUUAUAUUCCUCGGUCAAGGAUCAUGCGAGCAAAGCGCACGUUUAAAAAAUCCAAUGGGCAUUCUCAAAAAAAAAAAAAAAAAAAAUCAGCACACAAAUUAUUUCUUAUUACGAGAGUAAGGUCUUUUAAUAAAAAGUAAUUAUCCAUCCAUCACCUCUUUUUUUGUGUUUUCUUUUUAAAUACACAUUUUUUUGCUGAAUUUUAUUUGAAAAUACAUUGUCUUACACCCGUCUAUUGCCGUCUUAAUUUUGUUAAUAGAAUUAACAGAAUAUUGAUCAAAUGACUUUUUUACCCACAAACAUAAAAUUAUUAUUUUACUCUAAAUAAAUGCCAAAAAAAUAAAUUAAAAAGGCACUAAUAAAUAUAAAUUGAAAGUAGUGAAGUAUGAUAAGAUAUAGGAUGCGUUUAAAAUUGAGAUUGAGCAGUUGUAUCUUAAAAACUACAGUAUUAAAGUGUUUGGUAAACACUAAUUACUGCAGUUUCGAAGAUAUAUUGAUAUGAUUUUUCACUUGUGAAAUAGAAAAUUUAUUAUAUCUUUAAUAAUUUUGUCAAAAUUAUUGUUUAAAAUUUAUAUUUACUAUAUAUUAUUAUUAUUUUUAUAAUUAAAAUUUUUUUAACAACACCUCAAUUCUAAACAGGACCAUAAUCAAAUUCAACACCAAUCAAUAUCCAACCAAUAAUUAUUGUAAAACAUAAAACAUAAAACUACUUCAAUUAAAUAAUGAUGGGGAUUAAAAUUUAAAAAGCUUAUACUUAAUCAUCACCAUCUGGAUCAACACCCUCAAAAGUCCACUCACACACACUCCUUCCUGGCUGUUUCCUCCUCCUCGGGCGUAAAAUUAUUUUCAAUCCCAAGUAACUUCCUGACAUAUACUCGACACUCUUGUUCUUGAUCCUUUUUGGCCAAAGCCUCUGUCAGAUAAUCCAACAUCUUUUUAUUAUCAACGGUCAUCACUGCUCAUCAAUACCAUACGUUGGUAUUGUUGCUAAUCUACAAGCCUAUUCCAAAUCACCAUGGCACAAGUGGAAGGCAACAUUGAGGCAAAAUUAUUUCAACAUUUCGUGGGCAUCUAUCUCCGUCGUUGCAGUGGUUGUUGUCCUUUGACCCACGUUCACACAAACAGUUUGUUUAAGUACCUUUAAUCAUUAAUUCUGGAAAUGAGUUAGCUGUGCAGAUUGUUUUCGGUUAUUAAUUGUUUCUAAUGCUGGAAAUGAGGAAUUUCCAUCUUAAGCAUUGCCAUACAUUUUCAAUUGUUGCAGGUUGAGAUUACUAGCAGAAUCCAAAGGAUACCGACUUGAUGAUACAGGGCUGUUUCCAGCUACUCAUGGCUCAGGCGAUAAACAGGUUAUCAGCUGGAUUUCAGAAUCAUCUCGUUGCUGGAACUUCGUUUCCUUGUUCAUUAAAAAGCUCAGCUAUGUGAAUUUUACUGCAGGGUGUAAGGGCGAGAACAAGUUUGAAAUUUGAUACUGAGAAGGAGGUGUUUGAUUUCCUGGGAUUUCCUUGGCUAGAACCUCAUGAAAGAAAUUUGUGAAACAUGUGCAGUGUGUUUAGCAGUAAGAUGAUGCUGUAGAUAGGCACGCAUCAAAGAGUAGGCUGUACUUAGGAGGCUGUCAACAGACAUAUGUUUGGUACUAAUUAUACCGUAAAGUGUGCUGGUGGUCAUGGUGACAGGCCUUGGGUUUGAUGCUCGACUUAAGUUAUCAGACUUUAUGUUUAUUGAAUGUAUAUAUUUUUGGUGUAAAAAUUCUGUAUUAUUAUAAAAUUUUUAUCCUAAACAUUUCUCUGUGUAAUUUAAAUUACUUUACUGCAGAUUUAGGAAUAUUAGAAAAAUUGACUGACGUUCUUGCCUUUUCGGGGAUGGUUCUCUUUGAAUGAACGAAGCUUUUAGCACUAUACGUAUGUAUAUUUAUCUAUUUUGAUUUUUGGGAUUCGAAAGGUAAAUUUUAGUUGCUCAUAUAUUGAAUGUAAACAACAAGCUUGACUUAUAUAACACUAAUAAAUAUAAAUUGAAAGUAAUGAAGUGUGAUCAGAUAUAGGAUGCGUUUAAAAUUGAGAUUGGGCAGUUGUAUCUAAAAAACUACAGUAUUAAAGUGUUUGGUAAACAUUAAUUACUGUAGUUUCGAAGACAUAUUGAUAUAAUUUUUCACUUGUGAAAUAGAAAAUUUAUUAUAUCUUUAAUAAUUUUGUCAAAAUUAUUAUUUAAAACCUGUAUUUACUACAUAUUAUUAAAAAAAUUUAUAAUUACAAUUUUUUUUAACAGCACCUCAAUUCUAAACAGGACCAUAAUCAAAUUCAACACCAAUCAAUAUCCAACCAGUAAUUAUUGUAAAACAUAAAACAUAAAACUACUUCAAUUAAAUAAUGAUGGGGAUUAAAAUUUAAAAAGCUUAUACUUAAUCAUCACCAUCUGGAUCAACACCCUCAAAAGUCCACUCACACACUCCUUCCUGGCUGUUUCCUCCUCCUCGGGCGUAAAAUUAUUUUCAAUCCCAAGUAACUUCCUGACAUAUACUCGACACUCUUGUUCUUGAUCCUUUUUGGCCAAAGCCUCUGUCAGAUAAUCCAACAUCUUUUUAUUAUCAACGGUCAUCACUGCUCAUCAAUACCAUACUCUGGUAUUGUUGCUAAUCUACAAGCCUAUUCCAAAUCACCAUGGCACAAGUGGAAGGCAACAUUGAGGCAAAAUUAUUUCAACAUUUCGUGGGCAUCUAUCUCCGUCGUUGCAGUGGUUGUUGUCCUUUGACCCACGUUCACACAAACAGUUUGUUUAAGUACCUUUAAUCAUUAAUUCUGGAAAUGAGUUAGCUGUGCAGAUUGUUUUCGGUUAUUAAUUGUUUCUAAUGCUGUCAUCUAAAUAUACUGAUAAUUUCAUUUAUUUUAAUUUAUUGCUAUUGCAGUUGAUUUCUGUACUUACUGUCGUUGUUUUCACUCACCUUUCUAAUUACAUAAUAAUAGAAAUUUGAUAAUUUUACUAAUUUAUCGGAAUAAAGAGACAGACUAAUUUAUUUAUUGUCUGCGUGUCACCUCAAUUUUAGAAUGCGUCACCUAGCUAACGUCAAUAAUGGAGAAAGGCAGAAGAAAUAGAAAAGCAAUAUUGUAAAAGUUUGAUGCAUUCAAUUAAAGGAAAUAGCAAAAGAAAGAUAAAUAAGCAAAUAUGUUAAUAAAAUAACUAAACCAGAUAAUUGAAUAAACCAGUAUGUGUAUUGAUUCUAGAUUAGCAAGAGAUAUACCUUAAUUUUUUUAAUCAUGAAUUAGUUGCUUUAGCGUGAAAGUUUAAUCAAAGUCAAAAUUUUUAUUGUGAAAUUGCAGAGUACUUUCCAACCUGGACAAAUUGUCUACGGUAAAGCCCCAAGUCAAGUCAAGUCAAGCAAAGCACAUAAUGAUAAUACACGUAUAUACGAAGCCAUGCGGAUUGACGAAAUUGAAGCCAUAGUUGAUGGGCUGUAAUCGUUAAUUUCUUGGCCAUUAUUUUGCUAUAAAUAGAAGUGCAGAUGAAGAGCUGAAGUAUUCCAUUGAGAGAGAAGCAAUUUAGCAUUUUAGAGAGAGAAUUUAGAGAGCUUGAAAUUAUAAGCUCUUGUUAUAGUGAUUUGAGAGAUUGAGUGUAUUGCGGUUUUGGGUAGUGAUCUAAAAUAUCCCAAUACUUGUAAUUCAUUUUCACUAGUAAAAUAUUUUUUUUCUAUCUUCGCCCGUGAACGUAAGUUAAAAGUCGAACCACGUAAUUUUUGGUAUCCCUGUGUGAUUCUAUUGUCUCAUUAUUUUUCAAUUUCACUUUAGUUACAUGUCUACUUCACCCAUUAAUUUCCCAACAAGUUGUUCUUCUUGUUCUUCCUUUUUCUUUUUUUUCAAGAUACAUAUUCUUAUAUUUUCCUUUAAUCAUUAAUUCUGGAAAUGAGUUAUCUCUGCAGAUUAUUUUCGGUUGUUAAUUGUUUUUGAUGCAGUUAUCUAAAUUAAUUUCUUCUUGUUCUUCCUUUUUCUUUUUUUUUUUCCUAAUAUUGAUGUUUCGAGAUACAUAUUCUUAUAUUUUCCUUUAAUCAUUAAUUCUGGAAAUGAGUUAGCUCUGCAGAUUAUUUUCGGUUGUUAAUUGUUUUUGAUGCAGUUAUCUAAAUUAUCUGAAUAAUUUCAUUUAUUUUAAUUUGUUGCUGCUGCAGCGAGCAAUAUUUUAGUAGAAGAUGGAUGUAUCGAUUGAUAUGAAGAAGUUAGCCGAUUCUUUGAGUUGGAAGUUGGAGACCCUGCCUCCCUUGUCUAAAGAUUGUUCCAUCUAUAGAGUUGCUGAGCCCACGCGGUGCUCAAAUCCAAGGCAUUUUACUCCGCGAAUGGUUUCAAUUGGCCCUUUUCAUCAUGGUAAGGAAGAGCUAAAACCCAUGGAAGAGCAUAAACAGAGGUACCUAAAAUACUUUCUUCAACGGACUAAGGUGAGCAUGGUAAGUUUCCUCACUUUUAUAAAGAAAAGGGAAACAAAACUGCGCAAUUGUUAUGCAGAAACCAUUCGUAAUCUUGGUAGUGAUGAGUUCGUAGCGAUGGUUUUAGCGGAUGCUGGCUUUCUCAUUGAGUUCUUUAUGAGAUAUUAUAAACCUCGUCUCAUAACCGAUGAUGAUCGCAUUUUUAGAAAACCCCAAUGGCAUAAGGAAAUAUGGCACGACUUUUUGCUGGUAGAAAAUCAGCUUCCAUUAUUCAUUCUCAAAGACUUGUUUGAUCAAGCCAAAAUAACAGCCCGUGAAGAUGCCUUUUACGAGAAUAUUUCCUUUGUCAAAAUUACAUGUUUUUGGUUCGGGGAUCAAGUACUUGGAUUUCUUCCACUGGACGAGAAUUUGCUAGAAAUCCACUUUUCCAAAGCUGAGCAUUUUCUUGAUCUGAUUAUACUCUCUCUUCAGCCAUCCCAGCCACGUGCUCAAAUUAUAAUAAAAGAUCAAAACAUACCCAGUGUGAAGGAACUUCACCAAGCCGGAGUCAAGUUUAAACCAGCUGCCGGGUCAACCAAAAAUCUACUCGACAUCAAUUUUAAUCAAGGAAUUCUGGAAAUUCCAUUUUUCAAGGUGUUGGAUACCACAGAGCUUGUGUUCAGAAAUCUUCUAGCCUUCGAAAGCAUGCAUGGCUACAACGGAUAUUUUAAUGAUUACAUUAUAAUGAUGGCUUGUCUCAUCAGCUGUCCGAAAGAUGCAGAAUUACUCGUUCAAAAUGAUGUUAUUAGGCUAGGGAAUACUGAAACUGUUCCAACGGUUUUUGGAAACCUUGGUCGCGACUGUACGUUAUAUAGUGAUGAUUUCCAAUAUUCUGGUGUUGUCACUAAUUUACAGGCCUAUCGCAAGUUACCAUGGCACAAAUGGAAGGCAACCUUGAAGCAAAAUUAUUUCAACACUCCAUGGGCUUCUAUCUCUGUAAUUGCAGCUGUUAUUCUCCUUCUACUCACAGCCACGCAAACAGUUUCUUCUCUAAUUGCAUUGUAGAUUUAUUAAUUUCUACUGUUUGUGAUCAAUUUUUGUGUUUUUCAGAAGCAUUUCAUUUGUAUUGCUUGCUAGUGCCUCUGUUUUGUUUAGCUCACCCACAGAAUGGAUAAAAAAUAAGAGCAGUUGAUUUCUCUAGUUACUGUUGCUGUUUUCACUCGCCUUUCCAACAAGUCAAGCACCUAUAUAUUGUCUACUUGUCACCUCAAUUUUUAAAUUGUGUCACCAAGCAAACAUCAGUAAUGGAGGAUGGCAUGGCAGAUAAAAAAGAAAGGCAAUAAUGUGAUAAUGUAGCAAUGCGAUUCUACGAAAGAUUUUAAUAUUUGAAUAACCAGUAUUAGUAUUGAUUGUACAAUUCGUAAUAAUUAAUUUGUUUCUUUAUUGAUAAAAUUUAUAAUCAAGUUAGAGCUUUUACUGUGAAAUGUGGGAGUAAUUGUCUGUAGUGAUCCCCAAGUCAAGUCAAGCACAUAAUGAUAAAACAUAAAAGCAAGAAAAGUCAAGCAAUCAUAAAGCUGGGUUGGUCCUGGAAAGUUGAAAGAAAAAGCAAGAGCGUUUGGUGGCCCAGCACAGAGGGAUGAAAAUUUGAUUAUCCACUAUCCGAUCGGACGGAUGAAGACCAGCCGUCUGGGUUGGUUUGGCUAUUCCUUUCUGUUGAAAAAGGACCCUACACUAGGGAAUUUGAAGUGACUUCGAUUCACAGCAGCUGUGCGGGGCAAUAAAUUCAAUACAUGAUCUCUGCCAGUAAAGGACACGAUUACGAGGAAGCACUAGGCUUCAUAAAAUAGGGGUGUCAAUUGUGUCGAGGUAAAUCUCUUUGGGUUACAGUUGAAAUAGAGUAUUUAAUUAUUGGGGUAAAAUGUUAAACUUUUAAAGUUGUGGGAUAUUAUAUAUUAGACCCGUUUAUACUUAGACCCGUUUGGUAAUUUUGAGAAGUAAUUUUGAGAAGUAAUUUUAUACUUAGACCCGUUUGGUAUAACUUUUCAAAUAAACUUUAUUUAAGUAGAGUUUUUAUUGAUAGAGUUUUUAACAAAAUAAUUUUAUUUGUUUGGUUGUCCAUGAGAGCUUUUAUUAAAAAUUAUGAAAUUCCUUUAAUAGGUAAGAAAAUGAAUGAAAUAAGAUUGUCAAAUAAACAAAAGAUAUUUUAGAUAUUUUGACAUUUUAAAAAAGUUUUUUAACCCUUAGUGCCCCAAAAAAUCCAAAAUUUGAGUUUCGCUAAUAGAGGCAAAAUAACUUAUUUAAUCAUAAAAAACUCUACUGAAAAACAAUCAAACAACAACAUUGAAAAGAACUUAUAAGAUUAGAUAAGUAUUUAUGACCAUGAGAUAAUUCAUAUCAAACAGACACUUAAAACAAUUUCAUAUAUAUCUUCACAUAUAUUAUAAAUAUCCAACAUUAUCCUUAUUCAAUUAAGAAAUUGUAACACCCUAGAUGAAUCCCACAUCGGCAAAGUAAGGGAGAGACACUUAAAAUUACUAAAUGUUUAACUUUCGCAGCUCAUUAAUCUUAUAGCACAAUUAUUUAUAACUAUUUUAAAAGUUAUAACAUUGCCAAAUUGAGCCAUAGUCCGUCCAACCCUAAAUUUGAGACAUAAAAAAAGUGAGGUACUUAUGGCGUAAAAAAUCUAUCACAAUCGUGGUGACAAUUUCUACCACGCUCACAAAGUGCAACAAAACCUAAAUGGUCAUCUAAAGGAUCAAAGUAUUUUGAAGCCGUUGUUUAAUCUCUCACAUUUAUCUAUUGUAUGUCACCACCAUCAAUAUAUGCACAUAUUUUUUGAGCUGAACUGACAAAUUUUCUCACUUAAUUUCAAUGAGUAUUCAGAACAUCAAUGGAGAGAACCCAAAUCAUUGAAGUGAUGGAAGUUACGAAGGGCUUUCCUGGUAGAGCAAUACCGUUUAACCAGUGAAAACAGACAAAUUAAAAAUAAGAGUCGGUGCCCGGGUUUAAUAAAAGAAUUGUCUACUUGUCACUUUACUUUUUUUAAUUAAAUUGGGUCACCCAACCUCGACAUAAAUCUUGGACUGAUUAGUGGCCUAUUGAAUUGUUUGAACGCGAUCAUCUAGUUGCUAAUUUUUUGCUUUAUUGAAAAAUUAAAAUGAAAACAACUUAUUCAAUUUUAUUAGAAAGCAACUCGGUUUUGUUGUAUUAAAAAAGACUCUUGACUCUUAUCACUUUGUCCGAAGAGUGCACAAUUGGUAGGAAUUGUUCUAUUAUUAAACUGAGCCCUCUUAACUUAUUUUAUUAUAUUCCUCGAUCGAGGAUCAUGCGAGCAAAGCGCACGUUUAAACAAUCCAAUGGCCAUUCGCAAAAACAAAAAACAAAAAAUAAAAAAUCAGCCCACAAAUAUUGCGACGCGACCAAACCAGAUGGUCCAAUUGGUGAAGAGGAAUUCUCAUAAAUGCAAUGGUCAUACUCGGAUGUCGUUGGAAAUUUAUUACAAUGAAAGAUCUAGAUGGUCCAACUUAGGCUACUUGGAAUUUUUUUUUUUUAGGUUUAAAAAUAAUUUUAAAAAAUUAAAAUUAAUUUAGGUGUUUAGUAAAUUUUUAAAAAAUUAUUUUUUUAAUAAAAUCACCUCAUUCCGACAGCAGAUUUUGAAAGUGUAACUUUUCAAAAUCUGAUCUUGAAUAUUAGUUUUAUUCUUGAAUAUAAUCCCAUAUAUAUAAAAAAUCCAGAAUUAUUAUUAUUAGCAGAAAAUAAAUUAAAGAAAUUAUUAUUAUUGCUAAUUAUAUUGAGAUAAAAAUUAAAUUAAUGAUAUUAAUAUAUUUGAAAGUGUUCCAUCUACAGAGUUCCUGAGACCAUGCGGGGUUCCAAUCCAAGUCAUUUUACUACGCAAAUGGUUUCAAUUGGCCCUUUUCAUGAUGGUAAGGAAGAGCUAAAAGCCAUGGAAGAGCAUAAGAAAAGAUAUAUACAUAUAAGCAGUUAGAUUUUUUGGUGAAAAGUAAAAUGCCCUAUAAUUACAUAUAUACUUCGGUGAAAACAAGCAUAAAUAAUCACACAGACGUAGGGCAACGCAGCAGCAGCACUAAUGCUACACACCAGGGCGAGCCGUGGGCUAUAAUGGCCACCUGAAGAGAGACAAUGAACUGUGAUGAUCAAAAUCAAUGGAGACAUGACUAGUAAUCUUUGAAGCAGCUCAGAUGGUGAGGCCAUUACUUUGUCAUAGAGUAAGUAACCCAGGAAUCCGCAAACGAGUAUCACUGAUGCCUUGAGAAGCCAUUGCUCUGUUAUGCCGAUGCUUUGAGGCCUUGAUGAAGCGAUGAGUUGAAGCAAGUGGUUUGGAGCUAAAAGGGAAAGGACUGAAGGGUUUUUGUGUUUGCUUUUGUGGACUUGUGCGAGCGAGUAAUGUUACAAGAGACAGAAUUAUUGACAUUUCUUAACAGAGGCAAUAAUUUACAAAGUAACAAUUUGAAAUUCAAUAUUUCUCAUCUCAUUUAGAAGAAUCCAACCUGUUGCAAACAAGAUUGACCAUCUAGCUGUCAAAAUUUGAACUUAAGCUGCAACGAACAACCGUUCCCCUCAACCCAACUGCACCCCGGCACUUUCUUCAAACCUUUCUGGUUCAUGGCAGCCAUCAUCUCAGCUGCAUUAUCCCAAUUACCAGAUAGAGAAGAUGCUCUUGGCAUAGUUGAAGGUCCUGCGAUCAUUGUCAGUCCUUUGCGUCUCACAGUUGAAACAUGAACAUAAUUGCUCAUCAUUCGGUUCCUGAGAUAUAUGUCAAAGAACGUCCGCGCAUUGCGACUGUGGCAGUAGGAAACGCGACAGCUUCAAAAUUAUUGUAAAGAAGCGGCACCGAUCGAGGAACAAAAUAGCAACUCCAGAAGAAAGGAUGUUCUAAAGCUUCCGCAGCGGUAAUGCAGGGGUUCCAAAAUCAAACUGAUGGCAUCACUGCUAGCUGAUGGCAACAACUCAAGCAGAUUCACACCACCCAUCUGCGGGAAAAUAACCCUGUUGGUGCAUGUAAUGGAGACCUUGAAAAACUCGGAAACACAAGUUUCUGACUUCAUCUUCAGAGAAGUUUUGACCCGCACUUUCUUUCAUAAGUUUUAGAAGAUCAGAUUCCAUGUACUCGAACACAAUGAAUACGUCUUCGUGUUUUUUGACAAGAUUCCUCAAUUUGACAAUUUUGGGAUGAUUAUUCACCUGCUCUCGUCCAAAGAAAAAAUCUUCUUCAUUUUCUUCACAGCAACAAAUUCACCACUCUUUUUAUCAAGAGCCUAAAACACGUCGCCAUAACUCCCCGAUCCAAGCUCCCUGAUCUUUCCCUAUUGCUCCAUUAUUUUUAGGGUGAUAUAUGGAACCGAAUUUUCGUUUCUACAUGGAUAUUUAUGAUGUGACAAUAACUUGCCGUAUUGAAUUAGGGAAUAGUUUCCUAUUCCCAUUACAUGUAAUAAUAAUACCUUAAUUGAAUAGGAAACUAAUCUCCUAAAUGAAACUAAUACGUACUAAGAAAAGGAAAUUUGUUUAAGCAUUGCACUAGGAUAAAUGUUAUUUAGUAACUUAUAACAGAUUAUUAAUUAUCUCAGUACAUCAAAUUUUUUUAGUUUUUUAUUUAACAAGAUGGGCUUAUUACUUAGUAACUAAUAGAAGUUACGUAAAUACAGCAAAUUUUAAUAUUCAACCAAUUAGGGCAUUAGAAUCUAACAGUUUCCCUCGGUUAAUAUUUUAUUUUAUUUUAUUUCUAUCGGCUAAUAAAAGAGACUAAAAACCAAUGGUAACAAAGAGGAAUGGAGAUCUUGAUCCGUAAACGGGUAUCAUUGCUGCCUUGAGAAACCAUUGCUCUGUUAGGCCGACACUCGGAGGCCUUGAUUUAGCAGAUGAAGCCAUAAGUUGAAGCAAGUGGUUUGGAGCUAGAUGGGACAGGACUGAAGGGUUUUAAAGAUAAUAUGGUACAAUCUUUCUUUCUUUUUUCUUUUUUUUUUUGUGUUUGCUUUUGUGGACCUGUGUGACCAAGUAAUGAUACAAGAGACAGAAUUAUUGAGCCUCUGUCAGUAACUUUGUCCUAUAUGUUAACAUUUUUUAACAGAGGCAAUAAUUUACAGAGUUAGUAACAAUUUGAAACUCAAUAUUUCUCUUCUCAUUUAGAAGAAUCCAACCUGUUGCAAACAAAAUUGACCCUCUAGCUGUGGAAUUUGCACUUAUGCUGCUGUCUCCUUUGACAUUUCUUCCGCUGAACCAUCAUUCACCUUAACCCAACUGCACCCGGGUACUUUGUUCAAACCCUUCUGAUUUAUGGCAACCAUCAGCUCAGCUGCAGUAUCCCAAUUACCGGAUAGAGAAGAUACACUAGCAGCAAGUACAUAGUUGGCUCCUAGUUCAGGCUCUAGUUUAAGUAAAAGCUUUCCAAGGUUAUCAUCUAAACAGAGGACCUGCCCCGUGGUUUCUACAAGCCCCUAGGAAACUCCUUAAUAUAACUGCAUUAGGCUCCGUUGGCAUGUUCCUGAUAAUAUGAUAACCUUCUUCAAUCAAUCCAGCUUUUCCAAGCAUAUCAACCAUGCAUCCAUAAUGCUCCAUUGUUGGUUUGAUAUUAUAUACUCUCGCCAUUUCAUCAAAAUAAUUCUUACCCUCAUCAACAAGACCCAAAUGGCUACAAGCUGAUAAGAUUGCAGAAAAUGAAAUGCUGUCUGGUUUUAGCCCUGUUUGUAUCAUCUUGUCAAACAAGGAAAUAGCAUCAUUUCCUCGGCCGUUAUCUGCAAGCCCGGAAAUCAUGAUUGUCCAAGACUGCAAAUUCUUCUCCCGCAUUAAAUUGAAAACUUUGAAAGCUCUCUCAACAUGCCCACACUUGGAAUACAUCUCAACCAGGGCGGUUCCUAGAGCAACAUCCAGCUCCAAACCAUUAACGACAGCGUAUGAAUGAAUGGAUUCUCCUGCCCUGACGUUGAUCAGACUGGUACAAGCAGAAACCAAGCUUACCACGGUGACAGAGUUUGGAUUUUCAUUUGCUAGCUUCAUUCGAUGGAACACCUUCAAUGCGUCCGAUGGACUAUCACUGUACGCAAAAAAAGUAACAUCAGAAUAUACGCUAAUAAAGGAAACAAAUGCAUAAUAACAAAUUCACAUGAAAACAAGCACCGCAACUAGACAAAAUCAUUAACUAAUGAACUUCAUGCAUCAAUUAUUUGGCUUUUAUUCUCAUUAACGGUUUUUUAUUUUUAUUUUUUUAAACCCACGACAAGUAACAAUAACACAUAUAAACAAUUAAAAUCAAAUCAAUGAAGAAACAUACCAAGGAACAAAACCCGCAAUCAUAGAACUCCAAGAAACCACAUCUCUCACAGGCAUUUCCUCGAACACUGCUUUCGCAAAAUCAAUUUCCUUACAGGCAGCAUACAUCCUCACUCCUCAGAAGGGUAUUCCCAAUAUAUUUAUCCGAAUCCAAACCCACUUUAGGAAUCAACGAAUGCACUGACCCACCAACUCCAAUCAACAGACACCGACCACAAGCUUUUACAACAAAAGGGUACGUAAAAUUAUCUGGUGUAAGCCCUGUUUUUAGCAUUUCAUCAAACAGUUUGAUUGAUUCGAUCGAACAAGAGGUUUUCGUGUACGCUCUUAUAAGGGUAUUGUAAGCAAAAAGUGGUGGCGUGACGGGCAAGUUAUUGAAUAAGGAUCUCGUAAAGUGGAGUGAGAUUGAAAGUGAAGUGAGAAUGAAGCGUGAGAUUAUGUACGUGUUGUGAUCGAGUGAUGUUUUGAGGAAUAGAGUGUGGAGUUGGUGAAUGUGGUGGGCGAUUUUUGACAGUUGGAUUAGGGUUUCAAUUUGGCGGGAAAUCAUGACCCUAAACUAAAGCUGUUCUUUAUCGACAACUAACUUGUUGGAAAAAUCACUCACCUAAAUUGAAAGGUGAUCUUGAGACUAGUGUUGGAUUUAUAAAUUUAUAUUGAAUCUUUCAUCUCCCAAACACUGUCUGUAUCAUAAUUGAAUGAUUCUAUACUCCUCAAAUGAUUAGUUAUACUGAAAAUUCCUUGUUCCAAAUGACCAUCUAAGUCCUUUUCAUUUUUAAUUACAAUUAUAACAGUAUAUUGAUAUUUUAUUAAUCAGAAAACUACUGGUAUCGCUUUUAUUAUGGUGCGGUCAAAUGAACUACUGAUAAUGUUUUCCAUGCUAAAAGUUCUAGUACGACACUAACGUAUGAAGAAUAUUUUACUGGCGAAGUAUAUAGCAUCACUCAGAAUAUCCUACGGCUGUGGACCUGCGUAAAUAAACAUAAAUGUUGAGAAGUAAAAAAAAUUAUUAUUUUUUAAUAUUAGAAACUUUUUAUGUCAGUUGUAACAAUAUGACACUUGCAACAAAACCAUUUUCUUGGCUAUUGAAGUAAUAUCAAAUUUUUGUCAAAUUCAAAUUUUCAACUAAAAUGUGGUUUGGCAUACAGUGCUUUUGGGAUUGCUUUUGAGGCUCAAAAUUAAUUUUGAAAAGAUAAAAGUUAAUUUUAAUGUUUGGUUAAUUUUUUACUAAAUUAUUUUUAAUAAAAUCACCCCAUCAUACGUUAGAUUUUAAAAACAGAGAAGGAAUAACUUUUCACAACUGAUUUUGAGAAUCAGUUUUAUGCUUAGACCCUAUUUGAUAUAACUUUUUAAAUAAAAUUUAUUGAAGUAGAAGAGCUGUAAGUUAUUUUAUGCAACACCAAAGUAAAUAAUUAUUUUAAAAGUUAUAACAUUACCUAAUUGGCCCAUAGUCGACCUAACCCUGAAUUUGAGACAUAUAAAUGUGAGGUACUUAUGGCAUAAAAGAUAUAUCACAAUAUUAGUGACAAUUUCUACCACGGUCACAAAGUGCAACAAAACCUAGAUUGUCAUCUAAAGGAUCAAAGCAUUUUCAAGUAGUUGUGUAAACUGUCACACUUAUCUACUAUAUAUGUCACCACCAUCAAUACAUGCACAUAUUUUUUGAGCUGAACUGACAAAUUUUCUCACUCAAUUUCAAUGAGUAUUUAGAACACCAAUGGAGAGACCCCAAAUCAUUGAAGAGAUGGAAGAUACGAAAGGCUUUCUUGGUAUAGCCAGACAGUUACACCAGUGGAAUAGACUAAUUUAAUAUAGGAAACAGGAUUCAUUUUCUUACACACUCUUCAUUAAAAUAUGAUCAAGUACAGGAUCCGGCACAUGAGCCGGGGCCCGGGUUUAAUAAACCGUGUCACUGUCACCCAACCUCAACAUAAACUUUGGAGUGUCUGUGGCCUAUUGGAUUAUUUGAACGCGAUUGCUAAUUUUUUGCUUUAUUGAAAAAAAUAAGAUGAAAACAAAUUAUUCAAUUUUAAAAGAAAGCAACUCGGUUUUGUUAUCCCACGAGUGCACGAUUGGUUGGAAUUGUUCUAUUACUAAACUGAACCAUACAGUUUAUUUUAUCAUAUUCCUCGAUCGGGGAUCAUGCUACUAUGCUAGCAAAGAGCAAGUUUAAACAGUCCAAUAGACCUUCUCAAGUUCUCAGAAAACAAAAGUUAGUUAUGCAGAUGUGGAUAGUUAGUUACAAACAGAUUCAGAAGCUGUUAGCUGUAUGAGUAACAAACUCAUGUAUGUAUUAGCAUGCAUGAAUGUCAUUAGUUAGUUGUUAUUUUGUAAGCUUCCAAAAAUUCAAUAAUACAAAAAGUUUUCUUUCUUCUUCAUUUUACAUCACUUUCUUUCUCACUUUCUCUACAACCAAACAGAGUUUUUCUCAUUAUCAAACAGUUCUUAAUGCUACCUGUUUUCUUUCUGUUUUACUGAUUUCAUUCAUUUUGUUGCCACCGCAGCGAGCAAUUAAUAAGAAGAUGGAUGCCAGGAAGCGUGAGCGUGAGCGUUAUGAUGUAUCGAUUGAUAUGGAGAGGUUGGCAGAUUCUUUGAGUGGGGAAUUGGAGUCAUUGCAAUCAAAGCUUAUUUAACUAAUUUGUACUGUUUGGUUGCCGAGAAAAGUAAAGAGAAAGCUGAGAAUUGAGAGAGAAAAUUCUGAUAAAAACAAAUUAAUAAUUCUAAUUAAUCGUGAACCUGAUUACAAGGCUACUCAUAGUAAAAGCCAUGGAAGAGCAUAAGAAAAGAUACCUUAAGUGCUUUCUUCAACGAACUAAGGGACGCAUAGCAAGUUUCCUUGGAUUCAUAAAGGCAAGGGAAGCAGAAUUGCGCAACUGUUAUGCUGAAACAAUUCAUGUUGAGACUGAUGAGUUCAUAAAAAUGGUUUUAGUCAGUGGGAGAUCCAGUCACUUAAAUUAGGGGCUUAGUUAAAAUUAUUUUAUUUUAGUUGAGAUUUUUUUUAACGUUCACUUGAAUAAUAUUUUAAGUCUCAUAAACUCAAAUUCCAUUACUUUCUUUUAAAUUUUAAAUAAUAAUUGUAAUAAAUUGUUUAUUUAGAAUGCGUGAAAGUAUUAUUUUUCUAAGUAUUUUUCACAAAAUAUUUAAAAAAAAAAACAAAACAAUAUGGUUAUUGGGAUUUAAAUCAAGACUUUAAAACUAUCAAAUAACACUCUUACCAUUGAACUACAAGUCUUUUGUUAUAUACAACAUGUGUCCAAAUUUUUUUAUUUAACUCUUUGAGAAGGGACUUCGGGUACAUUUAAAAAAAAAAAAUUAAUGGCUCAAAAGGGGUUGGACCUUAAUUGGGCAACCCCUUAUGGACCUUAAUUGGGUCCGCCCAUGGUUUUAGUGGAUGUUGUGUUUAUCAUCGAGUUCUUUAUGAAAUUCUACCAACCUAAUUUCAGAACUAAUGAGGAUCCCAUAUUAGGAAAAUCAUUUUUGCAUGAUGAUGUCAAGCUUGAGAUUUUGCUGCUAGAAAAUCAGCUUCCAUUGUUCAUUCUCAAUGACUUGUUUAAUCUAAGCCAAAACUAUCUCCAGAAAGCCCAACAUUGAUCUUCACCAGGAAACCACUUUCUGCAUAAAAAAGCUCUCAUUAGGUUUCGGGCUGAACCAAUAUUGGACAAAAACAGCUCUUAUAAGGCAAGUUAUUGGAAAAUGAUCUUGUAAAGUUAAGUGUAAUUGAAAGUGAAGUAAGUAUGAACUGUGAUAUGAUGUCUGUAUUGUGAUCAAGUGGCGUUUUGAGGAAUAGAGAAGAGACUGGAGUUGAUGAAGGUGAUGGCCAUUUUUUGACAGCUGGAUUCGGUUUUGAAUUUGGCGGGAAAUCAUGACCCCAGCCUUUAAUUUUAAAGGAAAAAAAAAAUGCUGCUUCUUGACAACUAACUUGUGAAAGAACAUGAUAUUUCAUUUGGUACAGCAGUGAGUCUAAUUGUAGAACGGUAAAAUUUUUAACUAUUAAAUUUGGUUAGGCAGCGCUCUGUCAAAUGACAGAGCAUGCAAGAAUGGCUACUGUGUACAUGAGUUUUAACAAUAAGUUGCACAUUUCACAUUCGUACCUACAUAUUUAACAAUAUUAGGUCAUGUUUGGUUUGAAGAAAAGGGAAGAGAAGAAAAUAGUGGAAUGGAAAGGAAGGGAGAAGAAAGGAAUGGAGAAGAGUAGUGAAAUUAGAUUUUGUUGUUUGGUUUGAUAUAAAAUUUGAUAAGGAAAUUAAUUAUAAUUUUUUUUUAGACAAAUUUAUCAUUUACCUUAAAUAUUAAACUAUUUAUAUUAGUAAUAAUAUAGAUAUAAUAAAAUGGCGAUUCGGUGGUCCGGCGAGGUCCGACGGUGGUCCGGUGACUUUCCGGUGGAGGUCCAUUUAUAAUAUUAAAUUAAUAAAAUAAAAUUAUAAAUAAUAAUUAUUAAUGACAUUAAAUAAGUUAAAAAGUUGAAGGGUAAUUUUAGAAACUUUAGUUUCUAAUAUAAGAGGAAUUUAAAUUCUUCACUACUUAGUAUGGAAUUCAAAUUCUACAUUAUAAUGGAUAUUAAAUUCUAAUGGAAAUUAAAUUCUUAUAUAUUUUGUCAAACCAAACAAUAGAAAUAAAAAGGAAAUUUAAAUUACUUUCCUCUCCUACAUUCUCUUCUCCCAACCAAACACCACAUAAAUUCCUUAAAUUUGGACAAGUAACACUCUUGUUUUAGCCUUAACAUUUCAGAAGUCUUGGCAUAUGAUCAUAGAUGAAUAAUUCCAAACACAUCGAAUAAAUAGUUAUAUUGUAAAUUCAUCGUUCCAAAUGAUCAAUGUACAUGGUAAUGUUUCCCUGAUGUUGCUUCUAAGGUAUAGCAUUACUCUUACAAGCCACGGCUGUGUCAUGAAUAAAUAAACAUAAACUUUGAGAAAUUUGAAGUAUUAAAUAACUUUUGCAUGCGUGGAGUGAUGAAAAGGGGCGGAGCAAGAAUAAAAAUUUGGGGGGGGGGGGGGGCGUUGGUGUUCAAAUAUUAUAGAGGUAAAUGUUUUAAGGUUAAAGUUAAAAAGAGUAUCUAAUUAAUGGGUAAAAUGUUAAACUUUUAAAGUUACCGGGGGCCAAAUCAGCAAAAUAAAUAUUAAAAUCUGAAAUUGUAAAUUUUCAUAACUAUACUUGAUACAUGUUAAUGCUUUCACCUUUUUUCAUUGAGCAACCGAACCAACCUACUUUAAGUUUUAGUUAACUUAAGAUGAUGUUCAAGAAUAUUAUACGUUUUUUUUUCUUCAAGCAUUUACUUUAGUAAUUCAUUUUAGGCUACACUAAAUUGUUUAUCAUAAUGAGACUUGACUUUAACGCUAUUAUUGGAUCCUUAUGAUUCUGCUUAAACUCUUGAACCAAAUUAUUUCACUAACGAGAUUUCUCAAGUUUAUUCUCCCACAUACAAACUUUAUUUUAAUUUGAAUUUAUUGACUUACUUUAAAAUUCUCUUAUCUCUAAGCUUACCUACGAGUUCUGGUUUUAAUACUUGAGGAAAACUAUAAUACUUAUUGAUUCUUACCAAUCAACUUAAAACUUUUAUGUAAAGAGAUUUCUCUAAGACUCUAACAACCAAUACAAUCUUUGUCCUUGAUUUUUCGUUUUGUAAUUUUUGAUUAUUUCAAUUAUGAAGCUUAAAGCAUGCAUCUUAUUAGAUGGGAACCUGUAAAGAAAGAAAACAGUUACUGACUUUAUUGAAAGAGAGGUUCCAUAAAAGACAAGAGAAUUGUGAUGUUCUGAAGAAAGGAAUAAAUGUACAACAUCAAUUUAUUCUCUCUAUAUAUAUAUAUGAAGUAUAUGGACCAAUUUGUUCGGACGACAAGGUCGAUCAUAUAUAAUAUUGGUUUCAUCAUCCAUAAUUGACUACCAGAACUUGUUAUAUCUUUUAAUUUACGAUAGAUAUGUAAUCAAUUGUUAUAUCUUUUAAUCAAUGUGUACACACACACACAUGUAUGUAUCAGCUCACAAAUUAUUUCUUACUACCAGAACUUGGUCUUUUAAUAAUAUAAACUAAAAGAGACAGUCCUCGUAUAUACCUUUAUAUUAAGGAAUAAUUUAUUUUUAUUUUGGGCGAGGAGACUUUGUUGAUUAUAUUAAUGGGCUGUUUGGUUAUGUACGUGUAGCAGAGGCUAUAGGCAAAACAAAUUGAGUUUUCUUUUCUCGUUCUCUUUAAUCAUUCGGGAACUAAGUUAGCAACUGUCCUCGAGAUAGCUGGUUUCGGUUUUGUUCUGUUUUACUGAUUUCAUAGAGUAAUAAUAUAGUUACAAGCUCUUGUAUAAAUUGAUGUGGCAUGAUUUAAUUGGUUGGAUUAAAUAUCUUUUGGUCCACAUAAUUUGUUUUUAUUAUACCGUAUUUUUAUUCAACCAAUGACUUGAUGUCAAAUCAAUUUGUACAAAAUAAGUUUGUUUAAAAGUUUGUGGCUCUAUCAUCACUCUCAUUCAUUUAUUUCGUUGCUACUGCAGCGAGCAAUUAAUGAGAAGAUGGACGCCAGAAAGCAUGAGCAUGAGGGUUAUGAUGUAUCGAUUGAUGUGGAGAAGUUGGCAGAUUCUUUGAGUGGGGAACUGGAGUCAUUGCAUCCCUUAGCCAGAGAGUUUUCCAUCUACAGAGUUCCAGAGACCACGCGGUUUUCCCAUCCAAGUCAUUUUACUCCACGAAUUGUUUCAAUUGGCCCUUUUCAUCAUGGUAAGGAAGAGCUAAAAGCCAUGGAAGAGCAUAAGAAAAGAUACCUUAAGUGCUUUCUUCAACGAACUAAGGUACGCGUAGCAAGUUUCCUUGGAUUUAUAAAGGCAAGGGAAGCAGAAUUGCGCAACUGUUAUGCUGAAACAAUUCAUCUUGAGAGUGAUGAGUUCAUAAAAAUGGUUUUAGUGGAUGCUGUGUUUCUCAUUGAGUUCUUUCUGAAAUUCUACCAACCUAAUUUCAGAACGGCUGAGGAUCCCAUACUAGGAAAAUCAUUUUUGCAUGAUGAUAUGAAGAUUGAGAUUUUGCUGCUAGAAAAUCAGCUUCCAUUGUUCAUUCUCAACGACUUGUUUAAUCUAGCGAAAACAACAAUGUUUGAAACGAACUUGUAUGAGGAAUUUUCCUUCAUGACAAUUACCUGUUUUUGGUUCAGGCGUAAUAUUGCUGGAUAUCUUCCAAUACAGGAGAAUUUGCUAGAAAUCAACUUUUCGAAAGCUAAACAUUUUGUUGAUCUGCUUAUACUCUGUCUUCAGCCAUCCCAACCGCCUGCGGCUAUUGAGUUGAAAGAUCGAAACAUUCCCAGUGUAAAGGAACUUCACCAAGCUGGAGUCAAGUUUAAACCAGGGUCAAGCAAAAAUCUACUCGACAUCAAAUUUAAAGAGGGAAUUCUAGAAAUUCCAUUUUUAACGGUGUAUGAGACCACAGAGCGUUUGUACAGAAAUGUUCUGGCUUUCGAGAGGAUGCAUGGCUACACUGGAUAUUUGAAUGACUAUAUUAUAAUGAUGAAUUAUCUUGUCAACACUCCAAAAGAUGCGGAAUUACUCGUUCAGAACGAAAUUAUUGGGUUGGGGGAUACUGAAGCAGUUCCAACUUUAUUUCAUAUCCUUGACAAAGAAUGUGUGAUAGAUUAUUCUGAUUUCCAAUAUUCUGGCAUUAUUGCUAAUCUACAGGCCUAUUGCAAAUUACCGUGGCACAAGUGGAAGGCAACCUUGAAGCAAAAUUAUUUCAACACUCCAUGGGCGUCUAUCUCUGUAAUUGCAGCUGUUAUUCUUCUUCUACUCACAUCCAUACAAACAGUUUGUUCCCUCAUCGCAUUGUAGAUUCACUUUUACAGUUUAUUAUGUAUU
rnacentral:lncRNA from 1 species